AGAGUUUGAUCAUGGCUCAGAUUGAACGCUGGCGGCAGGCUUAACACAUGCAAGUCGAACGGUAACAGGAAGGAAGCUUGCUUUCUUUGCUGACGAGUGGCGGACGGGUGAGUAAUGCUUGGGAAUCUGGCUUAUGGAGGGGGAUAACUACGGGAAACUGUAGCUAAUACCGCGUAAUAUCUUCGGAUUAAAGGGUGGGACCGUAAGGCCACCUGCCAUAAGAUGAGCCCAAGUGGGAUUAGGUAGUUGGUGGGGUAAAGGCCUACCAAGCCGACGAUCUCUAGCUGGUCUGAGAGGAUGACCAGCCACACUGGAACUGAGACACGGUCCAGACUCCUACGGGAGGCAGCAGUGGGGAAUAUUGCACAAUGGGGGGAACCCUGAUGCAGCCAUGCCGCGUGAAUGAAGAAGGCCUUCGGGUUGUAAAGUUCUUUCGGUGGUGAGGAAGGCAGGUAAGUUAAUAGCUUACUUGAUUGACGUUAGUCACAGAAGAAGCACCGGCUAACUCCGUGCCAGCAGCCGCGGUAAUACGGAGGGUGCGAGCGUUAAUCGGAAUGACUGGGCGUAAAGGGCACGCAGGCGGUGACUUAAGUGAGAUGUGAAAGCCCCGGGCUUAACCUGGGAAUUGCAUUUCAUACUGGGUCGCUAGAGUAUUUUAGGGAGGGGUAGAAUUCCACGUGUAGCGGUGAAAUGCGUAGAGAUGUGGAGGAAUACCGAAGGCGAAGGCAGCCCCUUGGGAAUAUACUGACGCUCAUGUGCGAAAGCGUGGGGAGCGAACAGGAUUAGAUACCCUGGUAGUCCACGCUGUAAACGCUGUCGAUUUGGGGAUUGGGCUUUGAGCUUGGUGCCCGUAGCUAACGUGAUAAA
rnacentral:rRNA from 1 species